AUGGCGAGCGGCGGCGUGCUGCCAUUGGCAUCGCUGAACCACAUCAGCAUCGUUUGCAGUUCGUUGGAGGAGUCGCUACGCUUCUACAUGAACGUUCUGGGCUUCAUCCCCAUCCGCCGCCCCGGUUCUUUCAACUUCAACGGCGCAUGGUUAUUUAACUAUGGGAUCGGCAUCCACCUGUUGCAAUGUAAAGAGCCACAGAGUUUGCCCGGGAAGACGGAAAUCAACCCCAAGGAUAACCACAUCUCGUUCCAGUGCGAGAGCAUGGUGGCGGUGGAGCGGCGGCUGAAGGAGCUGGGCAUCCCGUACAUCCAGCGGUGCGUGGAGGAGGGCGGCAUCUACGUGGACCAGAUCUUCUUCCACGACCCCGACGGCUUCAUGAUCGAGAUCUGCAACUGUGACAACCUCCCCGUUAUUCCGCUUGCCGAUCAUACCUUCACCAUGGCCGCCUGCAAGAGGGUCGUCGCCGUCAAGCAACAGCAGAAGCCGCUGGUGGUACAAGCUCCUCCCCUGCAGACGACGGCGACAACCACGGCAGCACAGUGCGUGCCGUCAGCUAACAAGGCGAUGCAGCGUGUGGGCGGCGAGGAGGCGGCACACGUCUCGUGCGCGUGA
rnacentral:rRNA from 1 species